AUAGAGAGACUCUUCAAUUAAAGAAGUCCACCAUUCUCACAACACAGUUGCCUUCUCACACCUGCUUCUCAUAAGACAACAUUGACUGCGCUCGCUGCCGUUGUCACUCCACCGUUGUCUGUUGCCGACAAGAAUCUUCGAUUACUCUCCGGUCUUCUUCUUCCCUGAGGUAUGGAUAAGUCUUGGAUUUCAAAGCUACAUACCACACCUGGAUAUGAAAUUGGAUUAGAUAUAUUCUUAGAUUUUUCUUUUAAGAAUGUGGCUGUUGGAGAUACAAUACGAUGUCCAUGCCCGAUGUGUAGGUUUUUGAAACCGCAAACUAGAAGUGUAGUUAGGGAUCACUUACUAUGCAAACCAUUUCCUAAGAACUAUGUCGUAUGGACCCUUCACGGUGAGAUAAAACUUCCAGAGUCUUCUAGAAAUGAAGACUUUGUGCAAGAUAAGUUUCAAUCGGAUAAUAUGAUGGAAACAAUGCUCAAUGAUGCAUUUGGUAACUAUAGGCAAGAUGCUGCUAAUUUAAAUGAAUCAGACCCGAUAGCCUUAGAGGACAUACCUAAUGAAGGGACAAGAGUUGAUAGCGGUGAUUUUCGUGAGUUUCUCAACGAUGGAAGCCAGAUAUUGCAAGAAGGAAGCAAGUACACAAAACUUGAAUUUAUAAUCAAAUUAUAUCAUAUAAAGGUAUUGUGUGGAUUAAGUGACAAAGCAAUUACUAUGAUAUUGGAUUUGUUGUGAGACGCAUUUCAACAAGCAAAGUUACCUCAUUCGUUUUACGAGGCAAAGAAAGCCAUCAAUAAACUUGGUCUUAAUUAUACAAAGAUAGAUGCAUGUUCAAAUGAUUGUAUGUUGUUCUUGGGAGAUGACGAAAAAAGAACUACAAGAAUGCAAGCAUUGUGGAGAAUCUCGAUGGAAUCCUAAGAAGAAGAAGAAGCAAGUUGCAAAGGUGUUACGUUACUUUCCAUUAAAAACAAGAUUGCAAAGAUUGUUCAUGUGUUCUAAGGCAGCAGAGUAUAUGAGAUGGCAUGCUUUGGGCAAUAACAAUGAUGGACUAUUAAGACAUCCAAUGGAUGGUGAAGCAUGGAAGAACUUUAAUUUAAUUCAUCCUGAGUUUGCCUCAGAUCAUCGAAAUGUUCGCUUGGGACUUUAAUUUAAUUCAUUUUUUAUAGGAGCGUUGUCCCAAAAAUAGAGAAAAUUGUAGCAAGCAAGUGAUUCCUCAUACCGGUGGUUCUAAACCUCUUUCGAGAAAAAGACAUGAGAUGUUUUUGGAAACCGGACAACAACCUAGUCGUGGAAAAUUAUACAUUGAAACCCAUAAAAAAAAGACGGGUCAUUUGUAAAUGAUGCAGCAAAGAAUAUUGUGGAGCAAAUUGAAGUGGGUUUGACACAAAGCAAUAUUGAUGAAUCUCAAAUAUCUCCUAAUGAUGUUGUCGGUAGAGUCUUUGGGCCUGAGCAUUCUGGAAGAGUGAGAAGUAUGGGUAUGGGUGCAGCUCCUACUAAUCUACUAUCUACCCAAUACUAAGAAAUUGCCCAAACUGUCCAUUUUGCCCUUCUCUUAUAAUUUCUUUACCCAUACAAAAGGUUAUUCAUGUAAUUAACAAAAUAAAAAAACACAACAUGCCAAAUGUUGUGUUCUCAUUGGUCAGUUUUUCUACUCCCCACAUUUGUUUCUCUUUCUUCUUUCUUUUGUUGACAGAACCUUUCUCUUUCUCUCUUCCAUUUUCUCCCUUCUCCUCUCUCUUUUCCAUUAAACCCUAACACGGUUGUCGCCUCUUCUUCCUCCUCACUUUCGCUCUCUCUCCUUGUCUUCUCUUCUUUCUAUUUUUCAUGAAACCCUAAUCUGUCGCGAGUCACAAAAAUUCAAGCAAAGAAAGAAUCGAAGAAGAGAACAAGAAAUUCCAUUAGGGUUAUAUAACCAGAGAUCCAGCAAGUGAUGCACAUCCAAAAUUCCAAGAACCAAUCACCAUCUUUAUCAUACAAAAACCUGGAAAACCCAGAAUUCCAUAAACACCUUUCAAGAUUCUUAUACUUUACCCAGAAACUCUUAAGAUCCUCAAAUAAAAAUUAUAGUUCUUCGUAUUUUCCAGAUCUUCAUCCUAUUUCCAUAUCUUCAUCGCAACAAACCCAUAUUAGUGUUUGUAUUAUUUUUUAUUAACUUAUUUAAAUCUAUACUAUAUAUUAUACAUGUUUUUUUUUCACUAUUUUCCUUUUUAAUAGUUGUCUUAGCUAUUUCAGGUUGAUAGGUUUGUUACUAAAGGUAUGUUUCUCACUGUUUAUAAAAGAGUGUUUGAUGCUUAAUAAUUUAUAGGUUUAAUGUAGAAACAUUGAAUUUGGAUUUAGAGAUUUUAAUGAUUUUUCAAUUAAUUUUUCUUACCCGUUUCAAAUGUAAUCGAUAGUCUUACUGUUGCUAGCUUUUGAAUUUAAAUUUUAAAUUUCUAACCUUUCUCUCUUUCUCUAUAUAUUAUAUUUCAUAUGUUACAAAUCUCCAUUCAUGAGUUGGUUUUGUUUACUCCAUAUUUUCAAGUUUAGUGGAGAGCUGGAUGAUAUGAAGUUAGAAAGCAUUGCUAUGUGAAAUGGGUUGGAUGCUUCAGCACCUCACUUUAUUCUAUAUUUGAGUGUAACGACACUAUCUUAUCAUAUUUGCUCAAAGGCCUGAAACUAAAAUUUGAAGUAUAGUUGCUCAGAGGCUGGAUGAAUUGCUACAUGGUUUAAACAGUUGAGACGAUAGAAAUAGAGGAAGGAAAAGUUGCUCCAUUUGUCAAGUCGAAUCCUAUCCCUGAGACUAAUAACGAACCAGUUAAGGUGGUAGUUGGGGAAACUCUUCAGGAAAUAGUUUUCUACUCUAGAAAGAAUGGGGCAAGAGGAGCUUCAUGCUGCAAGUUUGCAAGAACAUGAAGAGUUCACAGAGUUAUUAGACAUAUGCUGCAAAAACAUGAAGCAAUUAAUAAAACCAGUAUAUGAUACAAUACACAAGGAAGCUAAAAGGGGUAAUGAAGGAAAGGCAAAGCAUUCACUCAACUUUUUUGGUAUUAAAUAAAUUUUUUUGGUAUUAUGCUUCCUUUUUUUCCUUAUAAAGGUCAAAGGUGGAUGGGUAAAGUUAGUUUUGUUGAGAUCCGCUCAUUUUGGCAUGUAUUUAGAAGUUUUGAAAGAAUGUGGAGCUUUUAUAUGCUAUGUUUGACAGCCUCUCAUCACUUCAUUCUGCAUCAAUUAUGUUUGACAAACUGAACUGAUUAUGUUCUUUUAUUAAG